rnacentral:rRNA from 1 species
AUUGAACGCUGGCGGCAUGCCUUACACAUGCAAGUCGAACGGUAACAGGGAGCCUGCUCCGCUGACGAGUGGCGAACGGGUGAGUAAUGUAUCGGAACGUACCUUUUAGUGGGGGAUAACGUAGCGAAAGUUACGCUAAUACCGCAUAUUCUCUGAGGAGGAAAGCAGGGGACCUUCGGGCCUUGCGCUAAUAGAGUCGCUGAUAUCAGAUUAGCUAGUUGGGGAGGUAAAGGCUCACCAAGGCGACGAUCUGUAGCGGGUCUGAGAGGAUGAUCCGCCACACUGGAACUGAGACACGGUCCAGACUCCUACGGGAGGCAGCAGUGGGGAAUUUUGGACAAUGGGGGCAACCCUGAUCCAGCCAUGCCGCGUGAGUGAAGAAGGCCUUCGGGUUGUAAAGCUCUUUCGGCCGGGAAAAAAUCGCAUGGGUUAAUACCCUGUGUGGAUGACGGUACCGGAAUAAGAAGCACCGGCUAACUACGUGCCAGCAGCCGCCGUAA